CUCUCUUUCUUCGUUGUUGUUAACGGGGAAACUUGCCGCCCGGUGGCUUUGUUUCUAGUGGAAGUCCGCGUGCUUUGAUACCCUCAGGGGGCACUUACAGGCUAGGUGGACACAGGGCUAGGGGAUAAGAAUGCAGCAGUGAACACGGUUCCUGCACUCAUGAAGCAAAUGUAUCCACUGUGGUACAAAAGAGACUGUAAAAAACAAACCCAAAUGGACAACAGGAAAAGACAGAAGCUGAUUGAGGUCCCAGCUUGGUAACAGUUUGAAGAGUUGCAGGACUGGCUGGAUGAGUACUGGCUGCAGCAAGUCAGGCUGCCAGGAUUCUUUAUGGCUGUUUCUGCUUCCACUACAGCUGAGUCAGAAAGGUCGCUGCCCAGUGGUGGCACUAGACGCAGUGGACCUGGCAAGCAAAUGUUUCCGCUAUUAGCUCUCAGCAACAGAGACUCAUUUAUGGUCACCUUGGAAAUCUGGGCUUAUCGAUCUACAGCCCAAGUCUGCUGAGAAGCUGGAGCUUAAUAAAGGGGAAACCUGAGAGCUGUUCAAGCCCCAAACAUUUUCCACUUCUGCGUCACCUCUGCUGUCUGUUAGCAGAGUGGAGGAGAAAAUACACCAGCACAAACAAUGCGAAAAAAUAGUUACUCUAUUCAUUAAAAGCUGUAACUUCCAGAUUGGACUUGAGAAGCAAUUAAGCAACAGAGGCACCUCGUCUACUAUCUGUAUUCAGGCAUGCUCAUGAGAACACGCUGCUCCAGCUGGACUUAGAGGAAGCCGGUGCAUCACAGGCAUUCCUGACAGAGUCUCGUGGUCCUGCUGGUCCACUCACUGGUACCCAGUCCUCCUCAUCCUCGGGGGUAGGUUCCAAGACCCCCAGGGGAUGCCUGAAACUGCGGAUGGAAUAUCAGCACAUUGAUGGACAUGUGGACUAUUUGGAUUCAGAAGACCUGGUUUGAGCUCAGCUCUGCUGCCAACUGUCUGUGUGACCUUAAGUAAAAUUAUCUCCUCUCUC
rnacentral:antisense_RNA from 1 species